rnacentral:rRNA from 1 species
GACGAACGCUGGCGGCGUGCCUAAUACAUGCAAGUAGAACGCUGAAGAGAGGAGCUUACUCUUCUUGGAUGAGUUGCGAACGGGUGAGUAACGCGUAGGUAACCUGCUUUGUAGCGGGGGAUAACUAUUGGAAACGAUAGCUAAUACCGCAUAACAAUGGAUGACACAUGUCAUUUAUUUGAAAGGGGCAAUUGCUCCACUACAAGAUGGACCUGCGUUGUAUUAGCUAGUAGGUGAGGUAAUGGCUCACCUAGGCGACGAUACAUAGCCGACCUGAGAGGGUGAUCGGCCACACUGGGACUGAGACACGGCCCAGACUCCUACGGGAGGCAGCAGUAGGGAAUCUUCGGCAAUGGGGGCAACCCUGACCGAGCAACGCCGCGUGAGUGAAGAAGGUUUUCGGAUCGUAAAGCUCUGUUGUAAGUCAAGAACGGGUGUGAGAGUGGAAAGUUCACACUGUGACGGUAGCUUACCAGAAAGGGACGGCUAACUACGUG